UACGGAGGGUGCGAGCGUUGUCCGGAAUCACUGGGCGUAAAGGGCGCGUAGGCGGCGCGGAUAGUCGGCGGUGAAAGCCCGGAGCUCAACUCCGGGUCGGCCGUCGAUACUUCCGGGCUUGAGCACUGUAGAGGCAGAUGGAAUUCCGGGUGUAGCGGUGGAAUGCGUAGAGAUCCGGAAGAACACCGGUGGCGAAGGCGGUCUGCGGGGCAGUAGCUGACACUGAGGCGCGACAGCGUGGGGAGCAAACAGG
rnacentral:rRNA from 1 species